rnacentral:rRNA from 1 species
AUGCAUGGAGGCGGCUAUCCUGGUUUCAUCUCUUGGUUCAAACAAACGGCUAGUUCAGAGUCUAUGGACGCCGAAUUGAGACAAGUCGCUAAUGGUUUUGACUAUAAGGUCCAUUCAUUUGACAAAUAUGACAUCAACGGGUAUCACUUUCGUACCUAUGGCAAAGAGCUAUCUAUGGCCGACCGAAAGUCUACAAAUUGUUGUGUCUCCACUAUCGGCGAAGGAGAUACCGAGUAUUAUGGAAGAGUUGAAGCAAUUUAUGGACUUCUAUUCUAUGGUGCAAACCCACCGAACGUCGUAGUCUUCAAAUGUCAUUGGUUCCAGCCGAAAGAGAGUAGAAGGACCCAUGAACAUCUAGGGCUAGUCGAAAUCAAACAAAGUACCCAUUUGGAUGUUCCCGAUGUCUAUAUUACGGCUCAACACGCAACCCAAGUUUUCUAUCUACCAUGGGCCUGCCAAAGUGAUCCAAAUCUCGAAGGUUGGGAUGUCGUUUAUGAAGUGCCGCCAUGUGUUAGACCACCUCCCCCCAAUGAAGAGGAUUACGAACCUCACGUUAAUACAGACACAUAUGAAGGAGAAUUGUUCCAAGAAACACGUCUUUCCAAAAAACGUUUCAAGAACCGCUCACCUCAUAACAUUCAAGUAGACAACGGCAGUGAAUCCGAGCCUGAGCAGGAACAAGAAGAGACGGAACAAGAAGAGGUUACUGCUGCGGAUGACCUGUCAAUGCUUGACCGAUUACAUGCAGGAGGCCUUCCAGAUGUUGAUGAAUUUAUUGAUGAUGAUGAUGAUGAGCACAUCAUUACUGAUAGUGAUGAGGAUGAUGCAUUUAUUGACCCCGAAGAAUAUAUAGACGAUGAUGAUGCAUUUAUUAAUGAUGACGAUUGUCGGGGAAACAGAUCCACGAAUACCUAUGGGGCCGGCGGACCGAGCCCCUUUCGGUUCGGCGGGGGGCGGAGGUCGCAUGAAGAGCAGAUUGAGGCGAGGCACACGAGCAGUUUACCCAGCUUCGGAGCUCUCCGGAGAGAUAAUACUCCUACUGCUGCUUGUCUGAUUGUAUUGUGUUCUUGCUCGAGUGCGUUGAGUGCUACAGUACACACGAGGCCGAGCGUGAGUGUUCUCUGGUUCCCCACCAAAGUGAACCCCCCUUACGUUACGCAUGGGCCUCCUUUUAUAUGCUCAAGGGGUCACCGACAGGUGGCAACGCAGAGAAGGGUAAAAGUGGAAAAGGGGUUGCGGUUGGUACAACCACCUGCACAGUGCAUCCUACCUAACCCUAAUGGCAUGGGACAAAGGCAUUGA